UUUUUUUUUUUUUUUUUUUGCCUGUAGAUAUGGGGUCUCCCUAUGUUGCCCAGGCUGGUCUCAAACUCCUGGACUCAAGAGACCUCCCACCUCAGCCUCCCAAAGUCCUGGGAUUACAGAUGUGAGCCACUGUGCCCACCCAGCUGCUAGUUUUGAGUGUGACCCAAAAUAAGAGAAGGCUCUGCAAGAGAUCCAGUCUGACAUGCAUCUACUCUGUCACUUGGUCCAUAGGAUUCAGCAGAUCCAGUGCUGCUUACGGUGUCAGUUUUCAAUUAGGGUGCUGUUUGGAGCCUUUGACAGGCCUAGGUGAGUCACAGCCCAGGUCCAUAGGAUUUUGGAGCAAAGCCCUGCCAUUAUCUACAGAUAACUACUCUCUUUUUAAGAAAUAGUUCUUGGCCUGUUACUGAACCUUAGUAGAAACUGAAUGUUUAACCAUGGAUCACCAAGUUACCAGGUAACCUGAGCUGCCCAUCAUGAACUGGGUGUUAUCUGACCCACCAAGCCAUAAGGUUGGGCAUGCAUAGCAGCACUCCAUCAUUGAAUGGAAGCAAUAUAUACAUGACUUGUCCCAAGCAGGCCCUGAAGGCACAAGUAAGCUACAUGAAAUGCCUGUGGUCCCCACAGCUGCUACGCUGCCUUCUUUCUCCCAGUCUCACCUGUGGCCUUAUGGGGAGUUCCCUACAAUCAAUUGACAGAGAAACAGAAGAUUUGGGCCUGGUUCCGCACAAUAUACUUGAAAGUAGACAGCAAUAGCACUUCAGCCCCUUUCUGAGACAUUCCUGGAGGACAUUGGUGAAUAGAAAUCUUCCCAGUGACCAGAAUUUUGAGCAGUGCACAUGGUUGCUCACUCUGCUAGGAAGGAGAAAUGACCAGAUGUGCAAUAAUAUGCCAAUAUAUGGGCUAUUGGCAAUGGUUUGCCUGGAUGGUAAGGGAUUGGAAGGAACAUGAUUGGAAAAUUGUUGGCAAGGGAAUGUGGGGAAGAAGUACAUGGAUAGACCUAUCUGAAUGGGCAAAAAUUGUGAAGAUGUUUGUGUCCUAUGUGAAUGCUCACCAAAGGUUGACCUCAGCAGAGGAAGAUUUUAAUCAAGUGCAUAGGAUGAUCUAUUCCAUAGAGAUCAGUGAGCCUCUUUCCUCAGUCACCCCAUCAUUGCCCAAUGGGCUCAUGAACAAAGUGGCCAGGGUGGCAAGAAAGAAGGCUAUGAAUGGGCUCAGCAACAUGGACUUCCACUCAACAAGGUCAACCUAGCUAUGACCACUGCUAUGUGCCCGAUAUUCCAGUAGCAGAGACCAACACUGAGCUCCCAAUAUGGCACCAUUCCCGAGGCUAAUCAGCCAGCUACCUGAUGGCAGGUUGAUUACAUUGGCGUGCUUUCAUCAUGAAAAGGUCAGUGAUUGCUCUUACUGGAACAGACACUCUGGGUACAAAUUUGCCUUCUCUGCAUGCAAUGCUUCUGCCAAAACUACCAUCCAUGGAUUUAUAGAAUCCCGUAUUCACACAGUAUUGCUUCUGCUAAUCAAGGAAUUCACUUCACAGCAAUGGAGCUAUGCUCAUGAAAUUCACUGGUCUUACCAUGUUCCCCACCAUCCUGAAGCAGCUUGUUGGAUAAAACAGUGGAAUAGUCUUUUAAAGGUUGCUAUAGCAGGGCCAGAGCAGCAUUCCUCCAGACGGCUGUAUAUGUUCUGAACCAGCAUUCAAUAUAUGAUGCUGUUUCUCCUUAUAGCUAGGAUUCAUGAGUCCAGGAAUCAAGUGAUGGAAAUAGGAAUGUCACCACCCACUAUUAUCCCUAGUGACCUACUAGCAAAAUUUUUACUUCCUGUUCCCAUGACCUUAUGUUUUGCUGGCUUAGAGGUCUUAGUUCCAAAGAGAGAAAUGCUUCCACCAGGAGACAAAAUAAUAAUUCCAUUGAACUGCAAGUUAACACUGCCACCCAGCCACUUUGUAUUCCUCAAGCCUCUCACUCAACAGGCAAGGAAAGGAGUGACUAUGCUGGCUGGGAUGAUUGAUCCUGAUUACCAAGGUGAAAUUGGAGUACUACACCACAGUGGAGCUGGGACAUCUAUCUUCUCCUGCCUUCACACUCAGACUCAGAUUGGAUCUUACACUAUUGGCCUUCCUGGUUCUCAGGUCAAAAUACAACUAUACCAUCAGCAAUCCUGAAUCUCCAGCUUGCUGACUGUAAAUCUUAGGACUUCUCAGCUUUCACAACCAGAACCCAGACUAAUACAAGAACCAAAUCUACGUCCAAGGCAAGGCAACGUAGUAAAGCAAGAAAUCAUCAGAACCUGGCUUGGGACUGAAGUGGAAGAAGAAGGGCUGUUCAUUGGCAAGAAUCAAAUCUGAGUCUUAUAUGGGAGGCACAAGCUGAUGAGAGUAGGUUGGGAAGGUGAGAUUUGGUGAGAUAGCCUGAAGCAACUGCACUCAUCAAAGAGCUUUUAUGAAGAAUUGGCUUCUGUGCCUGUGGGAUAGUAGAGACCUUUAAAAGGCAGUCUGGACAAAAACAUGAGAAUUGUUUCUAUAAG